CCAGCGACAUUACGUUCAACGGCCGCGGUAUCCUAACCGUGCGAAGGUAGCGCAAUCAAUUGUCCCAUAAAUCGGGACCUGUAUGAAUGGCCAAACGAGGUCUUAACUGUCUCCUCCAGGCAAUCAGUGAAAUUGAUCUCCCUGUGAAAAAGCAGGAAUAACCACAUAAGACAAGAAGACCCUGUGGAACUUCAAAAUCAGCAGUCACUUCCACAUUAUCCCCUCCACCCCGGAUACUACUUUCUACCGAACAACAUUGACCUGCAUUUUUCGGUUGGGGCGACCUCGGAGAAAAAUAAAUCCUCCAAGUAAAAGACUACCACUCUUAACCAAGAACAACCAAUCAACGUACCAACAGUGACCAGACCCAAUAAAAUUGAUUAACGAACCAAGCUACCCCAGGGAUAACAGCGCAAUCCCCUUCAAGAGCCCCCAUCGACAAGGGGGUUUACGACCUCGAUGUUGGAUCAGGACAUCCUAGUG
rnacentral:rRNA from 1 species